GACGAACGCUGGCGGCGUGCCUAAUACAUGCAAGUCGAGCGGAGUUAUUCUUUCGGAGAUAGCUUAGCGGCGGACGGGUGAGUAACACGUAGGUAACCUGCCUGUAAGACCGGGAUAACAUUCGGAAACGAAUGCUAAUACCGGAUACGCGAUUUCCUCGCAUGGGGAGAGCGGGAAAGACGGAGCAAUCUGUCACUUGCAGAUGGACCUGCGGCCCAUUAGCUAGGUGGUGGGGUAACGGCUCACCAAGGCGACGAGGCGUAGCCGACCUGAGAGGGUGAUCGGCCACACUGGGACUGAGACACGGCCCAGACUCCUACGGGAGGCAGCAGUAGGGAAUCUUCCGCAAUGGACGAAAGUCUGACGGAGCAACGCCGCGUGAGUGAUGAAGGCUUUCGGGUCGUAAAGCUCUGUUGCCAGGGAAGAACACUUGGGAGAGUAACUGCUCUCAAGGUGACGGUACCUGAGAAGAAAGCCCCGGCUAACUACGUGCCAGCAGCCGCCGUAA
rnacentral:rRNA from 1 species